UGAAUAGUUAAUAUAGUACAAUGCAUAAAUACCAUGACACAAAUGGACUGAAUACUCUGUUUCUUGUUUUGUAAGCAUCUAGGAUGCGGGACAAGUUUUGGGCCAGAAUUUGGGCCUUAGAAUAUCUUCCUUCCAUGUUAAAAACUUGUAAAAGACUAGAAAGCAGCUACCGGUCAUCAGGAGAUCCACGACUUUCAGAUCCUGCAAGGGAAGAUACCCUUAUUCUUUGAGAUGACAAAGCUCCCCACUAGACGCAAAUUGCCAAAUCAACACCAGGCAGUAUAGGAUUUCUUUGAUCGGCGUUCCCCAGACCUGAAAGGACAUACCAGCCCUGAUUAUCGGGCAUUCCUUCAUGUCGGGAGGAGGUACCGGUUGGAGGAGAAGAUAAGGACAACUUUCUUUCUUCCACUCUUGCUCCAAUCCCAAUAAUCUGAGAUUGAAGAUGAUGUCAACAGUUAGCCAAUAAGGUUUAUGGCAAACUGGAAGGAGUAUUGAUAGAUAAAUGAUAGUUGGAAACAGA
rnacentral:lncRNA from 1 species